GUCUCUGCAAGGAUAGCUCUGUACUGCUCGCAUUCUGCUUGUAAAGUGCUCUGUGCUUCCUCUGCCUCUUUCAGUUUAAGUGCUGAAUCCACAGGCUCUGUCAUAACUGUGUGUUGCUUUAGCACGUUCACAGCCUUCUCCUUAAACUCCUGUAGCCAUGCCUCAUAAUCCUGCUGUGACACAGUGACUUCUGGGAGUGCAGAGAGCAGAGUCUCUUUGGUUCGUGUCUGGAGCACAUCAAGCUGGUGGGCCAACUCCUCCUUUGCUUUUGUAGCAGCAAGUAGCUUUUCCUCGCAUGCCUUCUCCACUGUGGUCAAUGCUUCCACUGCUUUCCAGUUCUUCUCACGAAGGUCGUUGUUUUUUGUCUUCUGUUGCUCCAUCGCCUCUCGCAGCUCUGCUGCUUCCCUUUCCAAGGACAAGAGCUGGUCCGUUUUCUCCUGGAGCCUUAGCUGCAGCUGCUUCAUUUCUGCUUCAUUGGCUGCCUGCAGGUCUCUGUCUUCUUCUGCCUCCCUCAUCCGGCCUGCUUCCAGCAGAGCUUCGAUGGAUUUGAUUCUCUCCAGAAGCCUUGUGUUCUCUGAGCUGGCUUCCUGCAGUUUCCCCUUCAAGCUGUCCAGCUCCAGCAAUUUGCUUUUGACCUCUGUUUCAGAGCUCAGCAGCUUG
rnacentral:lncRNA from 1 species